rnacentral:lncRNA from 1 species
GGCAUAUAGCUUCUUUUUCUUGAGAUAAAUAUUAUCCAUUGCAUUUUUGCACCACUGUCUUAAAUUUUUUCUGAGCCUUCGAAAUUUAUAAAUAAAUGUUAUAAUCUGAUCGUUCAUGUUUGUAGUUGCAUUCCAUUAUGAUCAAGUUAUCAAAAUCGAGAUAUUGACAUCUAUAGUUUUCAAAUCUAAGUAGCCUUGACACCCCACUUAAUUUCUAGAGUUGUGGUGAGAGAGAGCCCUAGCGGAACAUGAUCGA